CGCAACUCCCACCGUCUUGUAUGGAACGCGCGUUACGGCGCAGUUUCUCCCUCCACGUCGUUUCCGUUACGUCAUAUUGCAACUUUGGUCUCGUUAUCUUGUUUACGUACAACAACUGCAAGGUUUAUAAAAAAACAACAUAUUUAAUAUAAAACACAACAGUUUUAUAAAAAUUGUGUUGCAAAUUUGUUGCGAGACUUUUGGCCACCUUUGGGGAAUAACUUAACCGCGUUACGCGAUAAUGAGAUAUUUAAGGAGUAUAUCUUUGUGGGACAGCCUGUAUUAUCAGCCUAAAAAAAAAAUUAAUAAUAAUUUAAUAAUCUUAAGUCAUUAUUUUCUACAAAUUAAAUAUAAAUAAAUAUAGGCGAAAAAACCAAUCUAUUUGGAAACCACAUUUUUUCCAAAGAUAUUCAGACGUAAACCCAAAUAUAUCAUACCUAUACCCAAAACGUACAAACCUUCUUUAGCAAACUCACAUUUACAAUUCAACGCUUAAUCUAUCUUACAAUCCUCCAAUAUAGUAAUUCUCAACUAUUAUUUUAAUCUUCAAACCAGCAAAACCAAAACAUCUAGUGUCUUCAUGUUGUCCAGUUAGCCUAAUAACGUUUAUCAUCAACGAAAAUAAAAUCUUACCUAAUAACCAAUCCGAUUUCCGCUCGAAUUCACAAAUUCAUAGAGUUAUUGACAGACUAUCAUUAUCAUUCGAAAAUAAAAACAUUUUCAAGGUUCUUUUCUCAAUAUCACACAAACUUCGUUCUUAAAAUCCUAAAAUCUUUUCAAAACUAUUCAAUAUUUUCUCACUCUAAAAUUAUUUCUUAAAGACAAAUUUUUAACAGUCAUCAUAUUAAUUAUAACUUCCUUCACACUAAAAAUCAAUGCUAUAAUAUACCAAGGAAUUGGCCUUUCACCUAUCAUUUGUAAUAUUUAUAUACAUUCCCUAAAAUAUGCCGUACAACUUUAGUAGCAUAUACCGAUAAUAAAGCUAUACUAGCAUCAAAUAAAUAUUCAAACAUAAAUGGUUCCGAUAUACAAUACUACUUUAACGUAAUUUCAAAUUGGACUCAUAAAUAGAAAAAUAAAAUAAAUGAAAACAAAUCAGUUUAAGUAAAUUUUGCUCUAGUCAAAAUGAAUGCCCUCAAUUUUCUCUCUAUAACAUACUUAUGCCAAAUAGAAUGUAACUAAAUACUUAAGAGUUCUUUUUUUGAUAAACGGUUAAAUUAGGCCCAACACACCAAAUAUAAAAGGAAACAAUCAAACACUCACCUAAACCUCAUCCGCAUUUUAUUAUAUACAAAACAAUUAUUAAUCCCUCCUCACUCUCUGCGUAUUAAUGGC